UACGAGGGGGGCAAGCGUUGUUCGGAAUUAUUGGGCGUAAAGGGCGCGUAGGCGGUGCGGUAAGUCACCUGUGAAAACUCUGGGCUCAACUCAGAGCCUGCAGGCGAAACUGCCGUGUUGGAGUGUGGGAGAGGUGCGUGGGAAUUCCCAGUGUAGAGGUGAAAUUCGUAGAUAUUGGGAAGAACACCAGUGGCGAAGGCGGCUAAC
rnacentral:rRNA from 1 species